rnacentral:rRNA from 1 species
AUGGCGGCGAGUUCGAGUUCGCAAGGACAGAAGGGGAGAGAGACCGCGGACGAGCUACUGGCUCGGCUGAAUCUGCAGGAAGAAGAGGAUGAUGACUUUGUGUGGGAAGAAGAACUGCCGGAUUUGGGGGCGCCGGCGAAGUGGCUCGCCAUCGCACGGGUGCACACACCUAAAAGCUUCAGCCCUAAUGCUCUGUAUGGAGAUAUGCGGGCUGCUUGGAAUCCCGCGAGGACGGUUGUAUGGAGGAAGAUCAAACCUAACUUGUUCACAUCAGAGUUCGGGUGCUUGGGGGAUUGGAACAAAACGAUGAUGGAGGGCCCUUGGCUGUUCAAGGAUCAUGCAGUUAUCAUGAAGGAGUACGAUGGCUUCAAAAAACCGGACAGUAUUGUGCUAGACAGGCUCUCUGUUUGGGCCCAAAUCCACUUACUACCUAACAAUUUCUUGAUCGAGCCAGCGGUCAGAGGGAUGGCAUCUCGCAUAGGAGAGGUGGAGGAGGUCCAGCUAAAACUCCCAGCAGGUUUCUUUUGGGAGUUUGUCAGGGUGAGAGUUAAGAUUGAUAUAAACGCCAAGAUAAAGCAGUUUGUUACUGGCAGAAAAGGAGAGGAAAGGGUCAGAUACCAAGUGAAAUAUGAGAAACUUCCAAUGUUCUGCUUUAACUGUGGAGAAUUCGGGCACUGGCAUGAGGAGUGUGGCGACGGAGUUCAUGACGAGUCAACCUUUGAAUAG